GUGAGGAAUUUUCCGCAAUGGGCGAAAGCCUGACGGAGCAAUGCCGCGUGAAGGAUGAAGGCCUAUGGGUUGUAAACUUCUUUUCUCAGAAAAGAAUUAUGACGGUAUCUGAGGAAUAAGCAUCGGCUAACUCUGUGCCAGCAGCCGCGGUAAGACAGAGGAUGCAAGCGUUAUCCGGAAUGAUUGGGCGUAAAGCGUCUGUAGGUUGUUUAAAAAGUAUUCUGUAAAAGAUUAGGGCUUAACCCUAGAUAGGCAGAAUAAACUUUUAAGCUAGAGUUUGGUAGAGGCAGAGGGGAUUCCCGGUGGAGCGGUGAAAUGCGUAGAUAUCGGGAGGAACACCAAAGGCGAAGGCACUCUGCUGGGCAAAUACUAACACUGAGAGACGAAAGCGAGGGGAGCAAAUGGGAUUAGAAACCCGUGUAGUCC
rnacentral:rRNA from 1 species